UCCAAACCCUAAUUUUCUUACAAUGAUUUGUGAACCCUUUGCUCUUCCUCUUCUUAGUUUCCGUUUCACGAAUCUGAUCUACCAUCAAUAAAUACACUCUCCACUUCUUUCUCCCUUUAAUCUCAUAAACUUACCAGGCGGGAUCUAUGAACAAGAUGAGUGUAUCUCCAAAGGGGUAUGAUUUUUUAAAAGCAUAAACAAUGUGGAGAGAAGCCUCAAGGAGUAUACUGCAAGCAACUGGAUCGAUUAUACGAGGGUUUCGGAUCUGAAACUGAGGGCAGUGUAAAAAGCUUCUUUAAAGAGCCUAAUAUUGGAUUCAGUCACUCAGAAAUAAUCAGUUACACAAGGUUUUCCAUUCUAUUAUUGAAACGAAGCUGUGGAUGAAGGUAUUGUUGUCUGAGGUGGACGCAAUCAGCUAAGACUUGCUUCGAAAGUGGAUGCCACUAAAGAGACUCUUAGGAAACAAUGAAUAAAAGAUUGGAGCUGACAUUGUUAAGUAAGACAGAGCUACCUGUUGAAGUAGGUGUUAAGGGAAGCGUUGUCAGCAAAGAGGUUAACAAUAUA